UGGCCUCUCCAGUCUGCAGCUCCCGGCAGCCUCGGGCCACACUCCCGGGAUCCCCAGGGACUGGCCUGGGACUACCGGGGGUGGCGGCCG
ensembl:miRNA MIR3176 microRNA 3176